rnacentral:rRNA from 1 species
UGCCUCAGUAACGGCGAGUGAAGCGGCAACAGCUCAAAUUUGAAAUCUGGCCUUCUGGCCCGAGUUGUAAUUUGCAGAGGAUGUUUCUGGCGAGGUGCCUUCCGAGUUCCCUGGAACGGGACGCCAUAGAGGGUGAGAGCCCCGUACGGUUGGUCGCUAAGCCUCUGUGAAACUCCUUCGACGAGUCGAGUAGUUUGGGAAUGCUGCUCUAAAUGGGAGGUAUACGUCUUCUAAAGCUAAAUACCGGCCAGAGACCGAUAGCGCACAAGUAGAGUGAUCGAAAGAUGAAAAGCACUUUGAAAAGAGGGUUAAACAGUACGUGAAAUUGUUGAAAGGGAAGCGUUUGUGACCAGACUUGGGCCGGUUGAUCAUCCAUCGUUCUCGGUGGUGCACUCUGCCGGCUCAGGCCAGCAUCAGUUUGGCCCGGGGGAUAAAGGUUCCGGGAAUGUGGCUCCUCCGGGAGUGUUAUAGCCCGGUGCGUAAUACCCUGGGGCAGACUGAGGUACGCGCUCCGCAAGGAUGCUGGCGUAAUGGUCAUCAGCGACCCGUCUUGAAACACGGACCAAGGAGUCGUCUUCGUAUGCGAGUGUUCGGGUGUCAAACCCCUACGCGGAAUGAAAGUGAACGUAGGAGAGAGCUUCGGCGCAUCUCCGACCGAUCCUGAUGUUCUCGGAUGGAUUUGAGUAAGAGCAUACGGGGCCGGACCCGAAAGAAGGUGAACUAUGCCUGUAUAGGGUGAAGCCAGAGGAAACUCUGGUGGAGGCUCGCAGCGGUUCUGACGUGCAAAUCGAUCGUCAAAUAUGGGCAUGGGGCGAAAGACUAAUCGA